AGGAGCCGUGUACGGACCCGUACGCACGGUUCUGUGGGCAGACGGGAGCUGCGGGGCUCCCUCUGACCCGAU
rfam:Methyloprofundus sedimenti strain WF1 Contig001, whole genome shotgun sequence.